GAGUUUGAUCCUGGCUCAGAGUGAACGCUGGCGGCGUGCCUAAUACAUGCAAGUCGAACGAUGAAAUUUCUAGCUUGCUAGAAAUGGAUUAGUGGCGCACGGGUGAGUAAUGCAUAGGUUAUGUGCCUCUUAGUUUGGGAUAGCCAUUGGAAACGAUGAUUAAUACCAGAUACUCCCUACGGGGGAAAGAUUUAUCGCUAAGAGAUCAGCCUAUGUCCUAUCAGCUUGUUGGUAAGGUAAUGGCUUACCAAGGCUAUGACGGGUAUCCGGCCUGAGAGGGUGAACGGACACACUGGAACUGAGACACGGUCCAGACUCCUACGGGAGGCAGCAGUAGGGAAUAUUGCUCAAUGGGGGAAACCCUGAAGCAGCAACGCCGCGUGGAGGAUGAAGGUUUUAGGAUUGUAAACUCCUUUUGUUAGAGAAGAUAAUGACGGUAUCUGACGAAUAAGCACCGGCUAACUCCGUGCCAGCAGCCGCGGUAAUACGGAGGGUGCAAGCGUUACUCGGAAUCACUGGGCGUAAAGAGCGCGUAGGCGGGAUAGUCAGUCAGGUGUGAAAUCCUAUGGCUUAACCAUAGAACUGCAUUUGAAACUACUAUUCUAGAGUGUGGGAGAGGUAGGUGGAAUUCUUGGUGUAGGGGUAAAAUCCGUAGAGAUCAAGAGGAAUACUCAUUGCGAAGGCGACCUGCUGGAACAUUACUGACGCUGAUUGCGCGAAAGCGUGGGGAGCAAACAGGAUUAGAUACCCUGGUAGUCCACGCCCUAAACGAUGGAUGCUAGUUGUUGGAGGGCUUAGUCUCUCCAGUAAUGCAGCUAACGCAUUAAGCAUCCCGCCUGGGGAGUACGGUCGCAAGAUUAAAACUCAAAGGAAUAGACGGGGACCCGCACAAGCGGUGGAGCAUGUGGUUUAAUUCGAAGAUACACGAAGAACCUUACCUAGGCUUGACAUUGAGAGAAUCCGCUAGAAAUAGUGGAGUGUCUAGCUUGCUAGACCUUGAAAACAGGUGCUGCACGGCUGUCGUCAGCUCGUGUCGUGAGAUGUUGGGUUAAGUCCCGCAACGAGCGCAACCCCCUUUCUUAGUUGCUAACAGGUCAUGCUGAGAACUCUAAGGAUACUGCCUCCGUAAGGAGGAGGAAGGUGGGGACGACGUCAAGUCAUCAUGGCCCUUACGCCUAGGGCUACACACGUGCUACAAUGGGGUGCACAAAGAGAAGCAAUACUGCGAAGUGGAGCCAAUCUUCAAAACACCUCUCAGUUCGGAUUGUAGGCUGCAACUCGCCUGCAUGAAGCUGGAAUCGCUAGUAAUCGCAAAUCAGCCAUGUUGCGGUGAAUACGUUCCCGGGUCUUGUACUCACCGCCCGUCACACCAUGGGAGUUGUGUUUGCCUUAAGUCAGGAUGCUAAACCAGCUACUGCCCACGGCACACACAGCGACUGGGGUGAAGUCGUAACAAGGUAACCGUAGGUGAACCUGCGGUUGGAUCACCUCCUUUCUAGAGAAAAGCUUUUAAUAUUCGCUUAUUAAAAGCCAAAGAGUAUUACCUGACAAAAGAACUUCUUGUUGCUUAGUUUUGAAAGAUUGAGCUUAUUCUUUCUUUUAUUUUUCUUUUUUGCUCACUUGUUUUUAAAUCUGUUUGCUUGCUUUUAAUCUUAUUUUAGUUUUGGUUGUUUGUUUUUUUAAUCUUGCUUGGUUUUGGUUUUAGUUUGUUUGGAUUUUGAUUUUUUAAAUCUUAUAUUUUGGUGAUUUUGUUUUUUGUUCGUUGCGUUUUAUUUAAUUAAUGUUUUGAGUUUUAGGUUUUUAGUUUUUGUGGUUUUGUUUUGGUUGGUCUUACGUCUUUCUUUAAUCUUGCUUGGUUCUGGUUUUCGUCUUUCUGGCUUUUUGUUGUUCGUUAGUUGUUCUUUAGUGUUUUUAAAGUUUUGGUUUUGGUUGGAUUUAAUGUUUAAAGUAUUUCCAUUUUUGUGCUUCUUGCCUAUUGCUUGUUUUUUUGUUUAAGUUUUUACUGUUUUUAGUUUUACUGCUUGUUUCUUGCUUUUAAUUUUUUUUCUUAUUCCUUGUAUUUAUCUUAUUGUUUAGGUUUUUAGUUUUGUUUGGAGUGGUUGGUGGAUAAGGUGGUUGUUUUGAAUGCGUUUGGAUUUGAAAAAAAGCUUUUUUCAUCAAGCAUUGAUGUUUAAAGCC
rnacentral:rRNA from 1 species